AUUGAACGCUGGCGGCAGGCCUAACACAUGCAAGUCGAGCGAGCGGCGGACGGGUGAGUAAUGUAUGGGAAACUGCCCGAUGGAGGGGGAUAACUACUGGAAACGGUAGCUAAUACCGCAUACCAUCGGAUGUGCCCAGAUGGGAUUAGCUAGGAGGUGGGGUAACGGCUCACCUAGGCGACGAGCCCUAGCUGGUCUGAGAGGAUGACCAGCCACACUGGAACUGAGACACGGUCCAGACUCCUACGGGAGGCAGCAGUGGGGAAUAUUGCACAAUGGGCGCAAGCCUGAUGCAGCCAUGCCGCGUGUAUGAAGAAGGCCUUCGGGUUGUAAAGUACUUUCAGCGGGGAGGCGUUACCCGCAGAAGAAGCACCGGCUAACUCCGUGCCAGCCGCCGCGGUAAUAC
rnacentral:rRNA from 1 species